UUCAGAUGCCUUGGCUGAUCCGGAACACUUGGCACAGCUCUGCCACAAGUGCAAUUAUUGGCAGCAUCCGCUACAGAAAAAAUGCAGUAUGGUGAAUAUUACAUGAAUGGAUUUUGAGACAGACUUCCUGGACUGAAUCCUAGCUCCAACACUUACUAGCUGUGUGACUGCAAACAAGUUACAUAACCUCUCUGGACCUUUUCCAAAAUGUCAAAUGAAUGGUAUAAUACAAUAUGUAGCUGUGAUGGUUGAGUUCAUGUGUUGACUUCAUUAGGCUAAGAGAUGCUCAGAGAACUGGUAAAAUAUUAUUUCUGGGUAUGUCUGUGAGGUGUUUCUGGAAGACAUUAGCAUUUGAAUCAGUAGACCAAGUAAAGAAGAUCUGCCCUUAGCAGUGUGAGCAGGCAUCGUCCAAUCCACUGAGGACUCAGACAAAUAAAAAACUUAGAGUAAGGGUGAAUUCACACCCUUUCCUUGAGCCGGGACAUUCAUCUUCUCCUACCUUUGGAUAUCUCUUUGAACUUAAGGACUUAUACCAAUGCCCCGCUCCUGCACCCCAGCCUUUAGCCUGGGAAUGGGAGUUACACCAUUGGCCUUCCUGGUUUUCAGGCUUUUGGACUCAAACUGAAUUAUACCACUGGCUUUCCUGGCCCUCCAGCUUGCAGAUGGCAUAUUGUAGGAAUUCUCUGCCUCUAUAAUCAUAUGUGCCAAUUCCCAAAAUAAAUCUCCUCAUAUACGUAUACAGGAUACCUAUAUCCUAUUGGUUCUGUUCCUCUGGAGAACCCAACUAAUACAGUAACCUUUUGAAUCUGGCUUCUUCCACCUUAGCAAAAUGAAUUUAUCAAGUUGGUGCAAAAGUAAAAGUAAUAGCCAAAACUGCAAUUACCUUUGCAGCAACCUAACCUAAUAGAAUUCAUCGAUGUUGUGUGAUAGCUCACUCCUUUUUAUUAUCAAAAAACAUUCUGUUGUAUGGAUAUACUAUGAUUUGUUUAGCCAUUCACUUAUUGAAGGAUAUCUUUGUUACUUUCAGUUUUUGGCAAUUAUGGAUAAAUCUUCUAAAAACAUUCAUGUGCAAGUUUUUGUAUGGACAUAAGUUUCUUUAGCUGGGUAAAUACCUAGGAGUACACUGUUAGGUCAUAUGAUGAAUCUGUGUUUAACUUUAUAAGAAACUGCCACAUGUCUUCCAAAGUGGCUAUACUAUUUUGCAUUCCCACCAGCAAUUAACGAGAGUCCUUAUUGUUCCAAAUUCUCAUCAGUACUUGGGAUGGUCAGAUUUCUUUUUUUUAUCUUUUUCUUCUGUUUUUUUUUUUUUUGGCUUUAGCCUUUCUGUUAGGUAUAUAGUAGUAUCUCAUUGUUGUUUUAAUUUCUAUUUCCCUGAUGACAAACAAAGUUGAGCAUCUUUUCUCUUUUUUUUUUUUCUUUUUUUUUUGAGAUGGAGUCUCGCUUUGUCACCCAGGCUGGAGUGCAGUGGCGCGAUCUUGGCUUACUGCAAGCUCUGCCUCCUGAGUUCACUCCAUUCUCCUGCCUCAGCUUCCCUAGCAGCUGGGACUACAGGUGCCUGCCACCAUGCCCGCCACCACACCUGGCUCCUUUUUUUGUAUUUUUAGUAGAGACAGGUUUCACCGUGUUAGCCUGGAUGGUCUCAAUCUCCUGACUUUGUGAUCCGCCCACCUCGGCCUCCCAAAGUGUGGGGAUUACAGGCGUGAGCCACUGCGUCCAGCCGAGCAUCUUUUCUUAUACUUAUUUGCCAUCUAUACAUCUUCUGUGGUGAGGUAUUUGUUCAGAUCUUUUGCCCUGUUUUUUGGGGGGGUGUUGUUUGUUAUUUUAUUGCUGAGUUUUAAGAGUUCUUUUUAUUUUCUGAAU
rnacentral:lncRNA from 1 species